AGGUGCGAUCAUACCAGCACUAAUGCACCGGAUCCCAUCAGAACUCCGCAGUUAAGCGUGCUUGGGCGAGAGUAGUACUAGGAUGGGUGACCUCCUGGGAAGUCCUUGUGUUGCACCUCUUUUUGCCAAAAUUUCGUGUUCUUUUUGUUAAUUAGCGUAAUUUUACGUCGUUCCGUUAAUUUACGCUACCUAACACUCUAUUAGUUAAUUAAUUAGCGUAGUUUGACGUCUUUUUUGAAAAAUAAAUUAGAAAUGCAUAUAUACAAUUACAACGCUUUACUCUCAGGUGCGAUCAUACCAGCACUAAUGCACCGGAUCCCAUCAGAACUCCGCAGUUAAGCGUGCUUGGGCGAGAGUAGUACUAGGAUGGGUGACCUCCUGGGAAGUCCUUGUGUUGCACCUCUUUUUGCCAAAAUUUCGUGUUCUUUUUGUUAAUUAGCGUAAUUUUACGUCGUUCCGUUAAUUUACGCUACCUAACACUCUAUUAGUUAAUUAAUUAGCGUAGUUUGACGUCUUUUUUGAAAAAUAAAUUAGAAAUGCAUAUAUACAAUUACAACGCUUUACUCUCAGGUGCGAUCAUACCAGCACUAAUGCACCGGAUCCCAUCAGAACUCCGCAGUUAAGCGUGCUUGGGCGAGAGUAGUACUAGGAUGGGUGACCUCCUGGGAAGUCCUUGUGUUGCACCUCUUUUUGCCAAAAUUUCGUGUUCUUUUUGUUAAUUAGCGUAAUUUUACGUCGUUUUUGAAAAAUAAACUUCGAUUGUAUUUCAUUUUUUCCGUUAAUUUACGCUACCUAACACUCUAUUAGUUAAUUAAUUAGCGUAGUUUGACGUCUUUUUUGAAAAUAAAUUAGAAAUGCAUAUAUACAAUUACAACGCUUUACUCUCAGGUGCGAUCAUACCAGCACUAAUGCACCGGAUCCCAUCAGAACUCCGCAGUUAAGCGUGCUUGGGCGAGAGUAGUACUAGGAUGGGUGACCUCCUGGGAAGUCCUUGUGUUGCACCUCUUUUUGCCAAAAUUUCGUGUUCUUUUUGUUAAUUAGCGUAAUUUUACGUCGUUCCGUUAAUUUACGCUACCUAACACUCUAUUAGUUAAUUAAUUAGCGUAGUUUGACGUCUUUAUUGAAAAAUAAAUUAGAAAUGCAUAUAUACAAUUACAACGCUUUACUCUCAGGUGCGAUCAUACCAGCACUAAUGCACCGGAUCCCAUCAGAACUCCGCAGUUAAGCGUGCUUGGGCGAGAGUAGUACUAGGAUGGGUGACCUCCUGGGAAGUCCUUGUGUUGCACCUCUUUUUGCCAAAAUUUCGUGUUCUUUUUGUUAAUUAGCGUAAUUUUACGUCGUUUUUGAAAAAUAAACUUCGAUUGUAUUUCAUUUUUUCCGUUAAUUUACGCUACCUAACACUCUAUUAGUUAAUUAAUUAGCGUAGUUUGACGUCUUUUUUGAAAAAUAAAUUAGAAAUGCAUAUAUACAAUUACAACGCUUUACUCUCAGGUGCGAUCAUACCAGCACUAAUGCACCGGAUCCCAUCAGAACUCCGCAGUUAAGCGUGCUUGGGCGAGAGUAGUACUAGGAUGGGUGACCUCCUGGGAAGUCCUUGUGUUGCACCUCUUUUUGCCAAAAUUUCGUGUUCUUUUUGUUAAUUAGCGUAAUUUUACGUCGUUCCGUUAAUUUACGCUACCUAACACUCUAUUAGUUAAUUAAUUAGCGUAGUUUGACGUCUUUUUUGAAAAAUAAAUUAGAAAUGCAUAUAUACAAUUACAACGCUUUACUCUCAGGUGCGAUCAUACCAGCACUAAUGCACCGGAUCCCAUCAGAACUCCGCAGUUAAGCGUGCUUGGGCGAGAGUAGUACUAGGAUGGGUGACCUCCUGGGAAGUCCUUGUGUUGCACCUCUUUUUGCCAAAAUUUCGUGUUCUUUUUGUUAAUUAGCGUAAUUUUACGUCGUUUUUGAAAAAUAAACUUCGAUUGUAUUUCAUUUUUUCCGUUAAUUUACGCUACCUAACACUCUAUUAGUUAAUUAAUUAGCGUAGUUUGACGUCUUUUUUGAAAAAUAAAUUAGAAAUGCAUAUAUACAAUUACAACGCUUUACUCUCAGGUGCGAUCAUACCAGCACUAAUGCACCGGAUCCCAUCAGAACUCCGCAGUUAAGCGUGCUUGGGCGAGAGUAGUACUAGGAUGGGUGACCUCCUGGGAAGUCCUUGUGUUGCACCUCUUUUUGCCAAAAUUUCGUGUUCUUUUUGUUAAUUAGCGUAAUUUUACGUCGUUCCGUUAAUUUACGCUACCUAACACUCUAUUAGUUAAUUAAUUAGCGUAGUUUGACGUCUUUUUUGAAAAAUAAAUUAGAAAUGCAUAUAUACAAUUACAACGCUUUACUCUCAGGUGCGAUCAUACCAGCACUAAUGCACCGGAUCCCAUCAGAACUCCGCAGUUAAGCGUGCUUGGGCGAGAGUAGUACUAGGAUGGGUGACCUCCUGGGAAGUCCUUGUGUUGCACCUCUUUUUGCCAAAAUUUCGUGUUCUUUUUGUUAAUUAGCGUAAUUUUACGUCGUUUUUGAAAAAUAAACUUCGAUUGUAUUUCAUUUUUUCCGUUAAUUUACGCUACCUAACACUCUAUUAGUUAAUUAAUUAGCGUAGUUUGACGUCUUUUUUGAAAAAUAAAUUAGAAAUGCAUAUAUACAAUUACAACGCUUUACUCUCAGGUGCGAUCAUACCAGCACUAAUGCACCGGAUCCCAUCAGAACUCCGCAGUUAAGCGUGCUUGGGCGAGAGUAGUACUAGGAUGGGUGACCUCCUGGGAAGUCCUUGUGUUGCACCUCUUUUUGCCAAAAUUUCGUGUUCUUUUUGUUAAUUAGCGUAAUUUUACGUCGUUCCGUUAAUUUACGCUACCUAACACUCUAUUAGUUAAUUAAUUAGCGUAGUUUGACGUCUUUUUUGAAAAAUAAAUUAGAAAUGCAUAUAUACAAUUACAACGCUUUACUCUCAGGUGCGAUCAUACCAGCACUAAUGCACCGGAUCCCAUCAGAACUCCGCAGUUAAGCGUGCUUGGGCGAGAGUAGUACUAGGAUGGGUGACCUCCUGGGAAGUCCUUGUGUUGCACCUCUUUUUGCCAAAAUUUCGUGUUCUUUUUGUUAAUUAGCGUAAUUUUACGUCGUUCCGUUAAUUUACGCUACCUAACACUCUAUUAGUUAAUUAAUUAGCGUAGUUUGACGUCUUUUUUGAAAAAUAAAUUAGAAAUGCAUAUAUACAAUUACAACGCUUUACUCUCAGGUGCGAUCAUACCAGCACUAAUGCACCGGAUCCCAUCAGAACUCCGCAGUUAAGCGUGCUUGGGCGAGAGUAGUACUAGGAUGGGUGACCUCCUGGGAAGUCCUUGUGUUGCACCUCUUUUUGCCAAAAUUUCGUGUUCUUUUUGUUAAUUAGCGUAAUUUUACGUCGUUUCCGUUAAUUUACGCUACCUAACACUCUAUUAGUUAAUUAAUUAGCGUAGUUUGACGUCUUUUUUGAAAAAUAAAUUAGAAAUGCAUAUAUACAAUUACAACGCUUUACUCUCAGGUGCGAUCAUACCAGCACUAAUGCACCGGAUCCCAUCAGAACUCCGCAGUUAAGCGUGCUUGGGCGAGAGUAGUACUAGGAUGGGUGACCUCCUGGGAAGUCCUUGUGUUGCACCUCUUUUUGCCAAAAUUUCGUGUUCUUUUUGUUAAUUAGCGUAAUUUUACGUCGUUUUUGAAAAUAAACUUCGAUUGUAUUCAUUUUUUCCGUUAAUUUACGCUACCUAACACUCUAUUAGUUAAUUAAUUAGCGUAGUUUGACGUCUUUUUUGAAAAAUAAAUUAGAAAUGCAUAUAUACAAUUACAACGCUUUACUCUCAGGUGCGAUCAUACCAGCACUAAUGCACCGGAUCCCAUCAGAACUCCGCAGUUAAGCGUGCUUGGGCGAGAGUAGUACUAGGAUGGGUGACCUCCUGGGAAGUCCUUGUGUUGCACCUCUUUUUGCCAAAAUUUCGUGUUCUUUUUGUUAAUUAGCGUAAUUUUACGUCGUUCCGUUAAUUUACGCUACCUAACACUCUAUUAGUUAAUUAAUUAGCGUAGUUUGACGUCUUUUUUGAAAAAUAAAUUAGAAAUGCAUAUAUACAAUUACAACGCUUUACUCUCAGGUGCGAUCAUACCAGCACUAAUGCACCGGAUCCCAUCAGAACUCCGCAGUUAAGCGUGCUUGGGCGAGAGUAGUACUAGGAUGGGUGACCUCCUGGGAAGUCCUUGUGUUGCACCUCUUUUUGCCAAAAUUUCGUGUUCUUUUUGUUAAUUAGCGUAAUUUUACGUCGUUUUUGAAAAUAAACUUCGAUUGUAUUCAUUUUUUCCGUUAAUUUACGCUACCUAACACUCUAUUAGUUAAUUAAUUAGCGUAGUUUGACGUCUUUUUUGAAAAAUAAAUUAGAAAUGCAUAUAUACAAUUACAACGCUUUACUCUCAGGUGCGAUCAUACCAGCACUAAUGCACCGGAUCCCAUCAGAACUCCGCAGUUAAGCGUGCUUGGGCGAGAGUAGUACUAGGAUGGGUGACCUCCUGGGAAGUCCUUGUGUUGCACCUCUUUUUGCCAAAAUUUCGUGUUCUUUUUGUUAAUUAGCGUAAUUUUACGUCGUUUCCGUUAAUUUACGCUACCUAACACUCUAUUAGUUAAUUAAUUAGCGUAGUUUGACGUCUUUUUUGAAAAUAAAUUAGAAAUGCAUAUAUACAAUUACAACGCUUUACUCUCAGGUGCGAUCAUACCAGCACUAAUGCACCGGAUCCCAUCAGAACUCCGCAGUUAAGCGUGCUUGGGCGAGAGUAGUACUAGGAUGGGUGACCUCCUGGGAAGUCCUUGUGUUGCACCUCUUUUUGCCAAAAUUUCGUGUUCUUUUUGUUAAUUAGCGUAAUUUUACGUCGUUCCGUUAAUUUACGCUACCUAACACUCUAUUAGUUAAUUAAUUAGCGUAGUUUGACGUCUUUUUUGAAAAAUAAAUUAGAAAUGCAUAUAUACAAUUACAACGCUUUACUCUCAGGUGCGAUCAUACCAGCACUAAUGCACCGGAUCCCAUCAGAACUCCGCAGUUAAGCGUGCUUGGCGAGAGUAGUACUAGGAUGGGUGACCUCCUGGGAAGUCCUUGUGUUGCACCUCUUUUUGCCAAAAUUUCGUGUUCUUUUUGUUAAUUAGCGUAAUUUUACGUCGUUUUUGAAAAUAACUUCGAUUGUAUUUCAUUUUUCCGUUAAUUUACGCUACCUAACACUCUAUUAGUUAAUUAAUUAGCGUAGUUUGACGUCUUUUUUGAAAAAUAAAUUAGAAAUGCAUAUAUACAAUUACAACGCUUUACUCUCAGGUGCGAUCAUACCAGCACUAAUGCACCGGAUCCCAUCAGAACUCCGCAGUUAAGCGUGCUUGGGCGAGAGUAGUACUAGGAUGGGUGACCUCCUGGGAAGUCCUUGUGUUGCACCUCU
rnacentral:lncRNA from 1 species